rnacentral:rRNA from 1 species
GACGAACGCUGGCGGCGUGCUUAACACAUGCAAGUCGAACGAAGAGCGACGGAAGCUUGCUUCUAUCAAUCUUAGUGGCGAACGGGUGAGUAACGCGUAAUCAACCUGCCCUUCAGAGGGGGACAACAGUUGGAAACGACUGCUAAUACCGCAUACGAUCUAAUCUCGGCAUCGAGGAUGGAUGAAAGGUGGCCUCUACAUGUAAGCUAUCACUGAAGGAGGGGAUUGCGUCUGAUUAGCUAGUUGGAGGGGUAACGGCCCACCAAGGCGAUGAUCAGUAGCCGGUCUGAGAGGAUGAACGGCCACAUUGGGACUGAGACACGGCCCAGACUCCUACGGGAGGCAGCAGUGGGGAAUCUUCCGCAAUGGACGAAAGUCUGACGGAGCAACGCCGCGUGAGUGAUGACGGCCUUCGGGUUGUAAAGCUCUGUUAAUCGGGACGAAAGGCCUUCUUGCGAAUAAGUGAAGAAAGGAAU